rnacentral:tRNA from 1 species
UCCGAUAUAGUGUAGGGGCUAUCACAUCACGCUCUCAAACCGUGGAGACCGGGGUUCGAUUCCCCGUAUCGGAG